UACGGAGGAUGCAAGCGUUAUCCGGAAUGAUUGGGCGUAAAGCGUCCGCAGGUGGCUAUGUAAGUCUGCUGUUAAAGAAUUACGCUCAACGUAAUCAAAGCAGUGGAAACUACAUGGCUAGAGUGCGUUCGGGGCAGAGGGAAUUCCUGGUCUAGCGGUGAAAUGCGUGGAGAUCAGGAAGAACACCGGUGGCGAAAGCGCUCUGCUAGGCCGCAAUUGACACUGAGGGACGAAAGCUAGGGGAGCGAAUGGG
rnacentral:rRNA from 1 species